AUAAUAAGAGCAGCAUGUAUACUAAAAUUGGAAGGAUACAGAGAAGAUUAGCAUGGCCCCUGCACAAGAGUGACAUGCAAAUUUGUGAAGCGUUCCAUAUUUUU